rfam:Schistosoma margrebowiei strain Zambia genome assembly, scaffold: SMRZ_contig0000085
AUCUAUCUGAUGAGUCGCAAAUAGAGCAAAACGCGCGUUCUAGAU